rnacentral:rRNA from 1 species
UUUAUGGAGAGUUUGAUCCUGGCUCAGGAUGAACGCUGGCGGCGUGCCUAAUACAUGCAAGUCGAGCGAACGGACGAGAAGCUUGCUUCUCUGAUGUUAGCGGCGGACGGGUGAGUAACACGUGGAUAACCUACCUAUAAGACUGGGAUAACUUCGGGAAACCGGAGCUAAUACCGGAUAAUAUUUUGAACCGCAUGGUUCAAAAGUGAAAGACGGUCUUGCUGUCACUUAUAGAUGGAUCUGCGCUGCAUUAGCUAGUUGGUAAGGUAACGGCUUACCAAGGCAACGAUGCAUAGCCGACCUGAGAGGGUGAUCGGCCACACUGGAACUGAGACA